UUUCUUUACAACGUCGGUGACGCCGAGCACAUUUCAAAGGCAACCGUGUGUCGGUCUGUCAGAAAUGUGACUUUGGCACUGAGUCGUUUUCUUUACACGUUUGUGAUGUUUCCAAGUCACCGACCUAUACGAACAAUCAAGGAAGAGUUCUACAGAAUUGCAGGUAACAGUAGCAACAAUGUAGCCUAUUUGUUUCUUGGAACGUUUUAAUUUAAUAAAUGUGCACAAUUUAAUAAAAUUAAUUAAUUUGUAAUGUUCUAGAUUUUCCGGGUGUCAUCGGGUGCAUCGAUGGAACUCUUAUUCCUAUUAAAGCUCUUUCAGUGAAUGAAGGAGACUAUGUUAAUAGGAAGUCCUUCCACAGCAUCAAUGUGCAGGUUGUAUGUGAUGCCAGAAAUAUCAUCACCCAAGUGGAGGCAAAGUGGCCGGGGUCUGUGCAUGACGCACGCAUAUUUCGGGAGUCUAAUCUGAGCACUCGCUUUGCCCGUGGAGAGUUCGACGGUCAUGUAUAAGGUGACAGAGGGUACCCCUGCCAGCCUUGCCUUCUGACCCCGUAUGCCGAUCCCGUGCCAGGACCACAGCAGCGCUACAACCUGCCGCAUAUGAGGACGAGAGCCAGGGUCGAAAACACGUUCGGGAUCCUGAAGGCAAGAUUCCAGUGCCUCCAAAUGCUGCGAGUCACACCAGAAAGGGCAUGUGAUAUAAUAAUUGCAUGUGUGGUUCUACACAACAUCGCGAUUUUGAGAGGGGAAAAUUGCCCACCUGCAGUUGCAGAUGAGCAGCACAUAAACCCAAACCAUGCCAUGGAUCCACAGGACGGUAGAGAAAGUUUUCUGUGU